rnacentral:lncRNA from 1 species
CCUUGCUCUGCUCUAUGCUCUCUAAAAUUCACACUCUUUAGGCCUCUAACGGCUAUUCAGCACUCUCCUUUAAUUUUGUGAAAAUCAAGCUUAAAAAGGGCUUCCUAAUCUUGACGUCGCGCUUAACACCAUUCUCGCGCUUAGCGCGAGUAAGUGAAUUUGAGCUUAGCACUAAUCUCGUGCUAAGCCUGGAAAUUGACAGAAGACUCGCUUAGCGAGCUAAUAACGCGCUAAACGCGUGCUUGCAGAGCAAAUGCCUUUCUAGAUUCCCCUUUACUCGCUAAGCGCGCUGGUG